rnacentral:rRNA from 1 species
UACGUAGGAGACGAGCGUUGUCCGGAGUUACUGGGCGUAAAGGGCGCGUAGGCGGCCUUCUAAGUCGAACGUGAAAUCCCCGGGCUCAACCCGGGAACUGCGUCCGAUACUGGAAGGCUUGAAUCCGGGAGAGGGAUGCGGAAUUCCAGGUGUAGCGGUGAAAUGCGUAGAUACUGGGAGGAACACCAGUGGCGAAGGCGGCUACCUGGACCGGUUCUGACGCUGAGGCGCGAAAGCGUGGGUAGCAAACAGG